UACGUAGGGUGCGAGCGUUGUCCGGAAUUAUUGGGCGUAAAGGGCUCGUAGGCGGUUUGUCGCGUCGGGAGUGAAAACUCAGGGCUUAACCCUGAGCCUGCUUCCGAUACGGGCAGACUAGAGGUAUGCAGGGGAGAACGGAAUUCCUGGUGUGGCGGUGAAAUGCGCAGAUAUCAGGAGGAACACCGGUGGCGAAGGCGGUUCUCUGGGCAUUACCUGACGCUGAGGAGCGAAAGUGUGGGGAGCAAACAGG
rnacentral:rRNA from 1 species